rnacentral:rRNA from 1 species
GACGAACGCUGGCGGUGUGCUUCACACAUGCAAGUCGAACGGAGUAGCAAUACUCAGUGGCGGACGGGUGAGUAACACGUGGGAAUCUACCAUUAGGUGGGGAAUAACAGGCCGAAAGGACUGCUAAUGCCGCAUAUGUAGGCAUCUCGACAGAGAUGUUUAUGAAAGGAGUAAUCCGCCUUUUGAUGAGCCCGCGUCCGAUUAGCUAGUUGGUAGGGUAAAAGCCUACCAAGGCGACGAUCGGUAGGUGGUCUGAGAGGAUGAUCACCCACAAUGGGACUGAGACACGGCCCAUACUCCUACGGGAGGCAGCAGUGGGGAAUUUUACGCAAUGGGGGAAACCCUGACGUAGCGACACCGCGUGAGCGAAGAAGCCCUUUGGGGUGUAAAGCUCUGUCAACAGGAACGAAACAAAUGACGGUACCUGUGGAGGAAGCAUCGGCUAACUACGUGCCAGCAGCCGCGGUAAUACAGAGGGUGCUAGCGUUAAUCGGAUUUACUGGGCGUAAAGCGUGCGUAGGUGGUUUGAUAAGUCGAUUGUGAAAGCCCCGGGCUUAACCUGGGAAUUGCGGUCGAUACUGUCAGACUCGAAAACGGUAGAGGGAGGUGGAACUCCAGGUGUAGCGGUGAAAUUCGUAUA